rnacentral:lncRNA from 1 species
AAUUUAAACAUUUUUAAUAAAAACUAAAAAAAUAUUAAAAUAUUAUAAAUUAUAGAGUAAACUUCAAAUACCACUCUGGUUGUUUCGCUCCAUUUCAUUUUAAUAGUCUGUGGUUUAAAGUGUAUCAAUUUAGUACCCUAGCUAUGAUUUUAUUUUUUUCUUUCGCUAGUUCCCUAGUUAACUUUCGUUAAAUCAUAUACAAAAAAUUUCAGACACCCGACCUAUAGUUUAUCGAAUAUUUAUUUUAGUACACUUUAGUACCCUUUAGUUUUAAUCUUAUUGUUGAUUUAAUAAAAAAUUAGUGGAGAGGAUAAAAAAAAAGAGAAAAAUAAAAUAGUAAAAUAUAAAAGUGAUACAUUUUAAAUGAUAGAGUAUUAAAAUAAAAAAAAAUAUAAAAUUACAGUGACGAUAUUUGAAAUUUUUCUACAUUGUAACU